rnacentral:rRNA from 1 species
GAUCCUGGCUCAGGACGAACGCUAGCGGCAGGCCUAACACAUGCAAGUCGAGGGGCAGCACGGUGUAGCAAUACACUGGUGGCGACCGGCGCACGGGUGCGUAACGCGUAUGCAACCUACCCAUAACAGGGGGGAUAACACUGAGAAAUUGGUACUAAUACCCCAUAACAUCAGGACCGGCAUCGGUUCUGGUUGAAAACUCCGGUGGUUAUGGAUGGGCAUGCGUUGUAUUAGCUGGUUGGUGAGG